AACCCUAUUGCCUAAUGGUUAAGGCGCCAGAUUUCGGUUAAACCAUAUCUCUGGAGAUUGGGAGUUCGAAUCUUCCCUGGGUCG